rnacentral:rRNA from 1 species
GACGAACGCUGGCGGCGUGCCUAAUACAUGCAAGUCGAACGCAGUGGGGACGGGUGAGUAACACGUGGGUAACCUCCCAUCAGAGGGGAUAACACUUGGAAACAGGUGCUAAACCGAUACUGAUGGAUGGACCCGCGGUGCAUUAGCUAGUUGGUGAGGUAACGGCUCACCAAGGCCACGAUGCAUAGCCGACCUGAGAGGAUGAUCGGCCACACUGGGACUGAGACACGGCCCAGACUCCUACGGGAGGCAGCAGUAGGGAAUCUUCGACAAUGGGCGAAAGCCUGACCCAGCCAUGCCGCGGGAAUGAAGAAGGUUUUCGGGUCGUAAAGCACUUUUGGUAGGGAGGCGGUACCUAACCAGGAAGCAACGGCUAACUACGUGCCAGCAGCCGCGGUAAUUC